AAAAAAAUAUUUUUUAUAUUCAUUGAAUAAGCAAUUAAUCUGAUUUAUAUAUUGAUUAAAUACAUUAUUUAUUAAAUAUAUUAAAAAAUAAACUUUUUCUUAGUCACUAAGUUUCAAAAUGGGAAAAUAAUUUUAAAAAUAAAUAUUUGUUUUCUAGAAUGAAUUUAUUUCAUUCUUGAAAAUAAACUAUUUUAUACGGUUAUAAUUUUAAUUGAUAUAUAUAUUUCUAACUUUUUU
rnacentral:lncRNA from 1 species